AAAAAUUAAAGAGAAAAACCAUUCUCGGCUUCCUCAUCCGUCCCAUCGAACCGCAAACCCUAACCUUUCGAUUGCCGCCGCCCGCCGCUCGCUGCUGCCCGCCGCUCGCCGCGGCCAAUGAUGGCGAGGGGCCGCCGCGGCCCGGGUGGACGGGGGAGGUUCGGCGGCGGCCCGCUGGGCGACGAGCGGCCAGUCCGUCACGGCGUCCGCGUCGAGGAGAACCCGUACUUCCCAUUACCGCGUCGGGCGUCGGGCUGGGGAGUGGCACCGCCGUCGCGGCACCUGUGGGUGGGUGGCCUGGCGCCCAGCGUCACGGCGUCCGACCUGUCGGAGCUGUUCCUCCGGUGCGGCGACGUCGAGGGUGUUGCCCGCGAACCCGGCCGGAACUUCGCGUUCGUGAGCUUCCUGCGGGAGGGGGACGCUGUGGCCGCGGUGCGGGAGCUCCAGGGGGCUCGCCUGGCUGGGGCGCCUGUUAGGAUCGAGUUUUCCAAGGGGGAUAAGGCUUCAGGUAGCUCAAUGGAUGACAGAUAUAUGCAACGUGCUGAUGAGCGGCAUUCUAUUGAACGUGGGAGAAAACGGCAACCGAGUCCUGAAAACACAAUAGAUAAGCAUAAAAGAAAUAGGUCGACAGAUCCUAGCGAUGUGUUAUGGAUAGGCUUUCCUCCUGGUUUAAAGGUAGAUGAGACUCUUCUGUGGGAAGCCUUUUCUCCUUUUGGGAAGGUUCUCAGGGUAACAACAUUCCCAGGCCGAACAUAUGCAUUUGUCCAGUACACUAGUAUUGCAGCAGCCUGCAGAGCAAAAGAAGCACUUCAGGGAAAACUUUUCAAUAAUCCACGAGUAAGCAUAUGCUUUUCUCGAAAUGAAGGUGCUGUGCCAGAACUUGGGAAACAAUCAUUUGUUGCCCAAUAUCAUCCCCAACCUAGUGCCCGACCUGUCGUCGGAGACCAAGAUUAUGAAGACUUUCCUAGGGCUAGGCCUUUUGAUAGUCCUCCAAGAAAUUUUCGCAUGUCACCACCACAUUUUGUUCCUAAUAGUUUGCCAAGAGAUGCUGAUGAUGUGGGCUUCAGCAAGGGUAAUUAUUUUGAACAGGAAACUGGAAUAGAGCUUGGCCGUGUGUCUAAUAUUGAGCCUUUUAGAACGCGGGAGCUGGGUCAAGAAAGAAGGCUUCCUGAGGAGCAUGAGCCCCAUAGACAAAGCCCUACUGCUAGGAGUGAUGCACCAUGGAAGCCAUGGAACAACAUUCCUUUUGACAGACCUUGGAGACCCUUACCAUUCGAAGAUUCUUGGGACGUUGAAGACAAGUCAUAUCUUAUUUCAAAGAAGCUGAAGGGUGCUCAAGUGCAUGAUACUGAACUUCCUGAAUAUCUUUUCUCCGGAUUUGAUCGAGGAAAAGUUUACCCUGAGUACCAAAGGAGGCCCCAUCAUGAUCUUUCAGAAGAUGGUUUACAGUCUAGAACCUCUUCGUCUACGGAUUUGCAUGGUAGACAUCAUGUGCAUCCUUUAAAGAAUAUAACUCCACUUACAAAUAAACAUGAACCAUGGCGUGCUCAAGAGAGUUUUGAUAGGCGUUUAGGGAAAAUGGAUAGAUCUACUCCUGACUAUAAUGAACCUGCUCUUAAGGAUGAAUGGAAAUGGAAUGGUACAAUAGCAAAGGGAGGCACACCGAUCUGCCGAGCUCGAUGCUUCCCUGUUGGAAAGGUCCUUAACUUCAUGCUGCCUGAGUUUCUGGAUUGCACUGCUAGGACAAGUCUAGAUAUGCUUUCUAAGCACUACUAUCAAGCUACUGGCAGCUGGGUCGUAUUUUUUGUCCCAGAAAAUGAUGCGGACAUGACAGCUUAUAAUGAUUUCAUGAGUUAUCUAGGUGAUAAGCAGCGUGCAGCAGUCUGUAAGCUUGGAGAGAGCAGCACCUUGUUUCUUGUUCCACCUUCAGAUUUCUCAGAGCAAGUACUGAGAGUGCCUGGAAAUGUCAGCAUAUCUGGAGUCAUUCUGAGGUUUCAGCAGUCAAAUCCAGAUUACAGCUCACCAAAUCGCAAACCAUUGGAUAGAGCUCACCCAUCUUCUGCAAGUAAUUUUAACACUGAUGUAAGAAAUUGUGAAGAUCUGCAUGCACUGAGAAGGCUCAAUCCUUCAGAUAUCAGCACAUUCCCUCAGGGUCCAGAUUAUGUCUGCUCAUCAGGUGGAAGCUAUACCCCAGCAAAUGCAGAUUUUAUUCCGCCCUAUAAGCCAGAGAGUGCUCCUCCAUAUGUCGUCCCUCAAUCACCGCAAGAAAGGCCGCCAGCGGAGCUCCCUAUGGGUAUUGCACAAGGCCAACACCAGCAACUCCCAAACAGGCUGCCCUCAGGAUGGUCCAAUAACCUGGAUAAUCCAAAUCCAAAUCCAGGUUCUGGUAACUUCAGUUUGGCACAGGGUGCAAUCUCUAACAGGACACAGGAUCCGUACACAUUUGCUCCUGGAGUAGUAUCAACUGGGACAGCUUCAGGGUAUGCAUCAGGUGAAGCAUCCAACAGCAUGUCCUGGGCUUCCAUGCAAUACAACUCACAGCAGGUAGCUAGAUCUGAUCAACCUACUAUUCCAGUAUCACUGCCACCUGAUCAACUUGCACAGCUAGCUGCCCUUCUUGCACGACAAAACCAACCUAGAAAAGUUGGUUUGCCUGUGGACAGCUCAAACAAUCUGUCUGGAUUCAUACAGAGUCCCAAUCCUCAUGGACAUGCUACAAUGAUGCCAGGCAACUCUGGCUCCAUCCCUAUCCAGAACUCACUGCCACCUGUUCCAUCUAUGCAACAAUUACAUGCCAAUGUGCCAGUGUCACCAAUAGGCUCGCUACCUGCAAAUCCAUUCAAUGUGCCGACCAGUGCUCCUGUACUUUGUAACAGCACUUCGCCUAUGCUGCCCAGUCAUGCUUUGGUCAACCCAGCUCAUUCUUCCAUGCCAAUGAGACCGUUCAUUCCUCCACUUCCUGAAGGUCCUCCACCCUUUCAGCAGCAAACAUCAAGUGCUGUCACAGUGCAGCCUUUAGGUCCUUCUAGCCAGCAGUCUAGCCAACAACUACUGGCUCAGGACCUUGAUGGAGAUCCUCAAAAGCGCCUUCAAGCAACACUGCAACUGGCAGCAACCCUGCUUAAGCAGAUACAAAAUCAAUCAAAUCCUGGUGGCCAGAAAUAAAUAUAAGGUUUUCUGAGUGGAUAGCUGAUUGGACCAGCUGUGUGGCAGCCGAAGCCCAGCUGCAUAUCCCUAGCUGAAGUCCACACUCAACAGUAACAUGUUUGUGGAGUUGCUUUGGAAGUUGUAUAGAAUGUUUUCUUAUGCCUUUUAGCAUUUGGUCUGUAUACCUAAUUGUAUUGGUAAAUGUCUAGCUGCAAGGAUCAUCAUAUGGUGCCAUCCUGAGGAGCUUUAAACUUACUGUUGUGGUUUUAUACCAUCACCUCCUGUGAUUUGAAUGUUUAUGAUGAGUUCUAAGACGCUUUGGCUUUCUUAUGUACAUGGUUUUUUGCUAUGCAUCCAGAUAUACAUUGGCUAGAAAACGUUGAAAGGUCUUUUAAGUUGGAAUGGAGGGAGUUAGCUGUUGCCUGCAUUUGUUUGUUUGCCUGGCUUGUUCCAAGAGGGUAUGAUGGUAUGGAUAACUUAUGAUGGCUGGCGUUUAUUGGUACGUGCAAGGCUAGAGAGGCUUAUGAGCGCCCCCCCUGACGUGCCAUCUGUGUACCAGACGGUAAAUAAGGCGUCUUACUCAGAUGUUUGCUUGGACUCGUCCGACAGUUGUACAAUUUGUUACAUGCAUUGGGGGCGAAGCUGUUGACAUUGUUUUAGCAUUGCUAGCAAGGGGUUAAAGAGCGUGACUCGUGAUGCGUAAUCUUUGGUCAUUCGAAACUGGCUGCCGCCCGCCAUGGAGCAUCUUUUAGACUGUCCUGGGAUGCUGAGGUGCUUCAAGAUUCAGAACAGCUCCUCUUUUUUUUUUCUUCUCUCUUUCAGUUUUUAAUCCUCGCUGAUCUUUCAGCCUUUCUCCUUUGUGUGGGUGUAGUGCAUGAUUGCGGCACUUGUUUCAGUGCAUCAGCUUUAUGCUGCUCUCUGCCAUGGAUGACCGGCCUGUCUGCUAAAGAGCAUGCCUGUGCCAUGCCAAGGCGGCUGUUGUUACUCCCUAGUCACUGCUUGCUAAAUGCUACUCCUACUACUAGAAAGUUGGCAUUGCAUGGAGAUCUGGGUAUGUAUCAUGAUGGCACUGCACUGCGUUUUAAAAUGCAGCAGAUUUA